AGCCCAGCACUGAAGCCCGUAGUCUAUAAUGGUUACUGGGCAAUGUAGUGUAUAGGAGAGCCCGUUUAACCCAAAUAUUUAAUUAGCGCGUCCAAGUCCUUCUUGAAGGGGGCCAAUUACCCAUAGAGGGUGCCAGGCCCGUUGUGACCGUUAAUUUGUUUGGGUGGGUUUCUCCUUAGAGUCGAGUUGCUUGAGAGUGCAGCUCUAAGUGGGUGGUAAACUCCAUCUAAGGCUAAAUAUAACCACGAGACCGAUAGCGAACAAGUACCGUGAGGGAAAGUUGAAAAGAACUUUGAAGAGAGAGUUCAAUAGUACGUGAAACCGUUUAGGGGUAAACCUGAGAAACCCGAAUAUUCGAAAAGGGAGAUUCAAUUACUUUUCUAAUAUUAAACAAUAUAUUGUUCGGACAAUGAUGUACUUAUAGUUUAGGCUAUAUUAUACAUUCAAAGCUUCACUUUAUAUUGAACAUUUUAAUAUUGGAGGUAUGCACUUCUCCCUUAGUAGAUCGUUGUGACCCGUUAAAUUUUGUUAUUUACGGCCUAAUUGGUAUUUAGACCGAUAUAAUUUUUUUAAUAAAAUUAUCAUCGGACCAAUAUAGUGUCCCAAUAACAGUAUGACGGUAUAAAUUUUAUUGAUAAAUUGGGUCGCUAAUUUGCGAGCGUUAUAAUUUUAUAGCAAGUAUUUUUAUGUUUAAAUGUAGAAUGGUCGGACUUUAUUGCCCGGUUCUGCACAUAAUAUACUGUUGGUUAUAAAAUUCUUUAACCGUACCCCAAAAAUAUCAGUCAACAACGUUUAGUUUUGGGUACUUUCAGGACCCGUCUUGAAACACGGACCAAGGAGUCUAGCAUGUGCGCGAGUCAUUGGGAUUAUAAAAACCUAAAGGCGUAAUGAAAGUAAAUGUUUACAUUUAUUGUAUUCAGAGGGAAGAUGAGCCUCUAUCAAGAUAUUGGCUCCGCACUCCCGGGGUGUCGUAAACUCAUUGUGAGU
rnacentral:rRNA from 1 species